AGAAUUUGCCGCACUUUCGUCUGGUCAUGGAAGUCACAAGAAAGAGUGCGUGAUAAACUGAAUGAUAAAAUAAUUAAGUUAUAUUCGAUCUAAAGAAUUUAUAAAAGUAUUUCACUUAUAUUUGAUUUUUUAGAUUUUUCAUCUGUCCUUCCUGAAGUGGAGAAGGCUAUCAACGAAGCUGAUUUUCUCUGUGUUGACACAGAAUUUUCAGGUCUUCAUGCAUCCAGUUCUUUUCACAUUUCAUCACUUGAUACACCAGAGGAAAGAUACCACAAACUGAGAAAAGGAUCCUCUGAUUUUUUGGUGUUUCAAGUGGGGCUUUGUACAUUUUGUUAUAAUGAAGAAGAUAAAAAAUAUGAAGCAAAACCAUUCAACUUUUAUGUUUUCCCAAAGCCAUAUUCAAGGGCAGCACCAGAUUGCAGAUUUUUGUGUCAGAGUUCAAGCAUUGAUUUCCUUGCAUCUCAAGGUUUUGACUUUAACAAAGUUUUUAAAGAAGGUAUACCCUUUAUAACUUCUACACAAGAGAGUGAGUUGAGAGAUUUGAUGGAGGAGAGACAUAAACAGUACAAGCAGUUUUCCUCGCCGGCCUUCGUGACCCCUGACAGUGGGGCGGAGGCGGUCACAACAAAAGGACCCAUAAAUGUACCGGAGGAACACAAGGAUUUCAUUGAAGGCAUUUGCAAGAGUGUUGAAGAGUUUUUGGAAAAGGAUGGAGAAGAAAAUCUGUCACUACCACCAUGUAAUGGAUUUGUAAGAAAGCUCAUAUACCAGACGGUCAGACAAAGGUUUCAGUCUGGGGUUCACCUGGGCGCCAAGACAGAUGAGAAGAAACAGAGGUAUAUCCAGGUCACCCGCAUCAAAACAGAGGAUGAAAUGAAAAUGAAAGAACAGGAAAAACAGUCUGCAGAACUGGUUAGUGUGUAAAAAAAAAUUUAGCUCACCUGAGCUAUAUUUAAUUUGGAAAGCACUUUUCUGAUCAUCUUGUGUCUGCCAUCAGUCAAUUGCUUUGUAAACUUUUUACAUUUUCAAACAUUGUAAUGAACUAGCUGCAUGAAUGAUUUCCUGUAUUUCUGAUUGCCUUUAUUUGUUAUCAUAUUUAUGUCUUUUUUUUUUGUAGGCUGAGCUGGAAGAAGCUGUAGGAUUCACCAAAGUCAUUAGGUUGAUAUCUCAAAGUGGAAAGUUGAUGGUGGGCCAUAACAUGUUUAUGGAUCUGGUGCACCUGCUGAAUAGGUUCUGUUCCCAGCUCCCGGAGAAUUACCAAGAAUUCAAGGCAAUGGCAAAAUGUGUUUUUCCCAAAAUUCUAGAUACAAAGCUUAUGGCAAAUACAGCACCAUGUAAGGACUUGCUGCCUAGCUCAGUUUUGGGAGAUCUCUUAAACCACACAAGUUGUACACCAUUUAAACCUCCAGAGAUUGUAAUCCCUGAGAACUUCCCACAGUACAAAUUAGACGACAGCAAUCUACAUGAGGCAGCAUAUGACGCCUACAUCACAGGAAUAUGUUUCACAGCAAUGUCUAAUUUUCUAGGAGGCCUGCAGAAUCCACCUUUACCUAAUGUGUUACCUGAUGCUACGAUUAUAAAACCCUUCACAAAUAAGCUAUUCCUAAUGAGGAUAUCAGAUAUUCCUUAUUUAGAUCUGGCAGGAGAUGAUGUUCUUCCGAGCAGGGAUCAUGUAUUUCAUGUCACAUUUCCAAAGGAAUGGAAAGCACCAGAUCUUUAUCAGCUCUUCUCUCCCUUUGGGAAUGUAUAUAUCACAUGGUUAGAUGAUGUAUCUGCUUUUGUGUCACUGUAUAAGAAAGACCAAUCAGCUACAGUCAUGUCCACUCUCUGCAAGAGAGAUACUCGCUACAAAAUCAUGACAUAUGAGUUGUUCAAGAACGGACUACCAGACAAAGAAUCGAGGAAACGCCCACACUCUGCAGAAUCCACAGAAGAGGAGGAGCCAAAGAAGAAAAAGCCCCUAAAUGUGGAUGCUCCAGUUUUUGUCUCUCGGUCAAGGUCAAUUACACCACCAAUGCCUGAAGAGAAUGAAAACAAAGAAGAGGAACCAGACAGCACAAGUGAACAAUCAAGUGAACAGAAACUGUUUGAAGUGCCAGCAUGGUGACACAUGAUGGAGUUGUGAUUAAGUGUUAAUUAUGACAGGAUCUCAUUGAAAACCCCACUUACAUAUAGCUGCACUUAUAGCUCACUCAUGCAAGUUGUCACCAACUGCUUGCAGAAAUAAAAAGAUAUACAGAUCGUCAUCAACCAGGAAAAAGUUAUACUUUGGUUGAGUUAAAACUGUGAUGAAAAAGCUUAUAUAUGUGGUUGUUUUAAAAAAAAGUGCUGUGAAUAGUUUAGACAUUUAAUACAAUUAUAUAAACAUUAAAGUUCAAUAAAAAGGAACAGUAAAUUAAGUCUUUCAAUAAUAUGAGAAAUUUUGUAAUUUGUCAUCUUUGUAACAGAUAAAAGAAGAACAUGCACAUUUGAUAGAAAACAUUUAUCAAAUAAAUUUAACUCUGAC
rnacentral:misc_RNA from 1 species